AUGUUAUCAAGUGUCAGGACAAGUUUAUAAUUUUAUGUACUAUGUAAACGCUGUGUAAUGUGUUUGAUGGGCGCGCGCGUUGAACAUUCGACGCGCAUUUAAACUGUGGAGGGAGUUACCAUGGAAACGGGGCGGCAACUCAGCUGACAAGUAGCAAAUCUCUCCGUCUCUCACUGUUGUUUUUACUGCUUUCAGAAAUGGUUCAGUGUCAUGGGAAUAAGUCCGUUAGCAUCACAACCGUGAGCUAACAGAGGCUAACUAUAAGAGGUGUUUGAUUUGUGAGCAUAGCCGUUCGAGGGAGGCUUUAAGACUAAGCGGAAUCCUCUGUCGGCUGCUCGCUCCCGCUUCACAGCGAGCGGGUCUCGCGCUAACCGUGUUGGGUUUUUUAAACGACCACGUUUCGACUUCAGCUAACAGCUAAUCAGUUUGGGAGAAUGCAAACAACGUGAUUCCAACAUCCAGACAUGCAAGAAAACGUGCAUUUUACCUGAGGGAAGACGUAAUCAAUAAGGAAAGUCGUCUUUCUUUAAUCAGAGUUGGAGUGGACCUCUUGUUGAAGAACUUCUCCAGGCACUAUGAACCAUCUGACUAGCCAUCCUGUUUAACACUGCACUGAGGACACUACAACCAGAGAGAUGCUGUCAUGAAACGCCAUGAAAAGGCAACUGCUGGACACCUGGGACAGGCCAUCAAUUCCAAGUUGGCGUCAAUUCCCUGUUAGAGUUUAGAGUUGUCUAAUAGAGAGGGUGAAGGAAGAACAUCCAAACCCUGCCCCUGCUUCCUUCAAGAUUUUUUAUGGAUUUAUAUAAUGAUGUUUUUUCGUAAAGUAAAGAGAGUGGCAAAAUUAACAUGACCCUACUUUGAUGUUUUGUUCUACAAAUUAAACUACACACACACUCCAA
ensembl:lncRNA